GGUUAAGCGACUAAGCGUACACGGUGGAUGCCCUGGCAGUCAGAGGCGAUGAAGGACGUGCUAAUCUGCGAUAAGCGUCGGUAAGGUGAUAUGAACCGUUAUAACCGGCGAUUUCCGAAUGGGGAAACCCAGUGUGUUUCGACACACUAUCAUUAACUGAAUCCAUAGGUUAAUGAGGCGAACCGGGGGAACUGAAACAUCUAAGUACCCCGAGGAAAAGAAAUCAACCGAGAUUCCCCCAGUAGCGGCGAGCGAACGGGGAGCAGCCCAGAGCCUGAAUCAGUGUGUGUGUUAGUGGAAGCGUCUGGAAAGGCGCGCGAUACAGGGUGACAGCCCCGUACACAAAAAUGCACAUGCUGUGAGCUCGAUGAGUAGGGCGGGACACGUGGUAUCCUGUCUGAAUAUGGGGGGACCAUCCUCCAAGGCUAAAUACUCCUGACUGACCGAUAGUGAACCAGUACCGUGAGGGAAAGGCGAAAAGAACCCCGGCGAGGGGAGUGAAAAAGAACCUGAAACCGUGUACGUACAAGCAGUGGGAGCACGCUUAGGCGUGUGACUGCGUACCUUUUGUAUAAUGGGUCAGCGACUUAUAUUCUGUAGCAAGGUUAACCGAAUAGGGGAGCCGAAGGGAAACCGAGUCUUAACUGGGCGUUAAGUUGCAGGGUAUAGACCCGAAACCCGGUGAUCUAGCCAUGGGCAGGUUGAAGGUUGGGUAACACUAACUGGAGGACCGAACCGACUAAUGUUGAAAAAUUAGCGGAUGACUUGUGGCUGGGGGUGAAAGGCCAAUCAAACCGGGAGAUAGCUGGUUCUCCCCGAAAGCUAUUUAGGUAGCGCCUCGUGAACUCAUCUCCGGGGGUAGAGCACUGUUUCGGCAAGGGGGUCAUCCCGACUUACCAACCCGAUGCAAACUGCGAAUACCGGAGAAUGUUAUCACGGGAGACACACGGCGGGUGCUAACGUCCGUCGUGAAGAGGGAAACAACCCAGACCGCCAGCUAAGGUCCCAAAGUCAUGGUUAAGUGGGAAACGAUGUGGGAAGGCCCAGACAGCCAGGAUGUUGGCUUAGAAGCAGCCAUCAUUUAAAGAAAGCGUAAUAGCUCACUGGUCGAGUCGGCCUGCGCGGAAGAUGUAACGGGGCUAAACCAUGCACCGAAGCUGCGGCAGCGACACUAUGUGUUGUUGGGUAGGGGAGCGUUCUGUAAGCCUGUGAAGGUGUACUGUGAGGUAUGCUGGAGGUAUCAGAAGUGCGAAUGCUGACAUAAGUAACGAUAAAGCGGGUGAAAAGCCCGCUCGCCGGAAGACCAAGGGUUCCUGUCCAACGUUAAUCGGGGCAGGGUGAGUCGACCCCUAAGGCGAGGCCGAAAGGCGUAGUCGAUGGGAAACAGGUUAAUAUUCCUGUACUUGGUGUUACUGCGAAGGGGGGACGGAGAAGGCUAUGUUGGCCGGGCGACGGUUGUCCCGGUUUAAGCGUGUAGGCUGGUUUUCCAGGCAAAUCCGGAAAAUCAAGGCUGAGGCGUGAUGACGAGGCACUACGGUGCUGAAGCAACAAAUGCCCUGCUUCCAGGAAAAGCCUCUAAGCAUCAGGUAACAUCAAAUCGUACCCCAAACCGACACAGGUGGUCAGGUAGAGAAUACCAAGGCGCUUGAGAGAACUCGGGUGAAGGAACUAGGCAAAAUGGUGCCGUAACUUCGGGAGAAGGCACGCUGAUAUGUAGGUGAAGCGACUUGCUCGUGGAGCUGAAAUCAGUCGAAGAUACCAGCUGGCUGCAACUGUUUAUUAAAAACACAGCACUGUGCAAACACGAAAGUGGACGUAUACGGUGUGACGCCUGCCCGGUGCCGGAAGGUUAAUUGAUGGGGUUAGCGCAAGCGAAGCUCUUGAUCGAAGCCCCGGUAAACGGCGGCCGUAACUAUAACGGUCCUAAGGUAGCGAAAUUCCUUGUCGGGUAAGUUCCGACCUGCACGAAUGGCGUAAUGAUGGCCAGGCUGUCUCCACCCGAGACUCAGUGAAAUUGAACUCGCUGUGAAGAUGCAGUGUACCCGCGGCAAGACGGAAAGACCCCGUGAACCUUUACUAUAGCUUGACACUGAACAUUGAGCCUUGAUGUGUAGGAUAGGUGGGAGGCUUUGAAGUGUGGACGCCAGUCUGCAUGGAGCCGACCUUGAAAUACCACCCUUUAAUGUUUGAUGUUCUAACGUUGACCCGUAAUCCGGGUUGCGGACAGUGUCUGGUGGGUAGUUUGACUGGGGCGGUCUCCUCCUAAAGAGUAACGGAGGAGCACGAAGGUUGGCUAAUCCUGGUCGGACAUCAGGAGGUUAGUGCAAUGGCAUAAGCCAGCUUGACUGCGAGCGUGACGGCGCGAGCAGGUGCGAAAGCAGGUCAUAGUGAUCCGGUGGUUCUGAAUGGAAGGGCCAUCGCUCAACGGAUAAAAGGUACUCCGGGGAUAACAGGCUGAUACCGCCCAAGAGUUCAUAUCGACGGCGGUGUUUGGCACCUCGAUGUCGGCUCAUCACAUCCUGGGGCUGAAGUAGGUCCCAAGGGUAUGGCUGUUCGCCAUUUAAAGUGGUACGCGAGCUGGGUUUAGAACGUCGUGAGACAGUUCGGUCCCUAUCUGCCGUGGGCGCUGGAGAACUGAGGGGGGCUGCUCCUAGUACGAGAGGACCGGAGUGGACGCAUCACUGGUGUUCGGGUUGUCAUGCCAAUGGCACUGCCCGGUAGCUAAAUGCGGAAGAGAUAAGUGCUGAAAGCAUCUAAGCACGAAACUUGCCCCGAGAUGAGUUCUCCCUGACCCUUUAAGGGUCCUGAAGGAACGUUGAAGACGACGACGUUGAUAGGCCGGGUGUGUAAGCGCAGCGAUGCGUUGAGCUAACCGGUACUAAUGAACCGUGAGGCUUAACCUU
rnacentral:rRNA from 1 species